GAAGCAAGCCAGUAAGCAGCAUUCCUCCAUGGCUUCUGCAUCUACUCCUGCCCCCAAGUUCCUACCCUGUGUGAGUUCCUGUGCUGACUUCCUUUGGUGAUGAACAGCCAUGUGGAAGUAGCCAUAUACCACAGAUGUGGAGUACUUAAAAAGUUGAAAUUGUCCUUGUUACUGUCUUUGCCCCAUGCUGCAGUUUGGGUAAACAUGAGACGUUGGGAGAGCUGGGGAGAUGACUGAAGAUAAACUGCAUACUGUUCAAGUUGGAGGGCCUAAGCUUGGAUCCUCAUCACCCAGGGUACUCACCAUGCAUGCCAACGGCACAGCAGAGUAUGGCUCAGAAAGGCUGCCACUGAAGAAGAGGAACUGCAAAAAUCCACCUGGAAUAUCAAUCACGUGUACCCCAACAAAACAUACCUGACUCACCGGUUUUCACCCCGCUUCGUGGCUACCUGCUGACAGCUAUCAUAGUGGAUUUUGGUGUAGAUUGAGACUCAGCUCACCUCACUCAAUCCAAACACACAGGCUCCUUUGCCUCUGAUCACACUGCCUGAUCUUUGAAAGCAAGACCCUCUGCCUGCCCUAUGUGUGUGGUACCCAUGACCAUCAACAAGGUUCCUCUGCAUCCUUGAGCUAUGAGAAGUGAGAGGCUGCCACUCCCAACCUCUGUUUCUUCAACACAAGCAGGACAGUGGAUAGCAGCUUUCGCGACAGCUAUGCCUACUAGUCAUGACAACACUUGUCUCUGUAUCCGCUGGUCCUUUGAGUCGGACUGCACUGUUCUGCCUGACGUCUGGCCAGGAUGCCCAUUUCAGAAGGAUUUCUAUUUUCUUUCUCAUUGUUCCCCAACAGAAAUGAUCUCACCGUGACUCAGCUCUAGCUCAUGGAUUCCCCUUAUGUAUUACUUACUGCUUGAUGCUCCCAGUUAGAGAGGCAGCACUAAAAACAUCAGAGCACUGACAUCCUGGACUCACUCCCUCGGUCCCCGUAUGAAAUACAGAGAUGAUAUGCUUCUGUGUCGUUGGACUCUGAGGCACACGUGCUAGCCGUUUAAUCCCUGAGCUAUAGCAGUUUUUGAGACAGGUCUUCAUGUAACCCAGGCUAGCCUUGAACUUUCUCUGUAGCUAAAGAUGAGCUUAAAUUCUUGGUCCUCCCCAUCCCAAAUGCUGAGUUUGCAGGGAUGCCCCCAUCAUACCCAUCUGUGCAGGUACCCGAGGGGGUCCGAAGAGGUAUUGGAUCCCCUGGAACUGGAGUUGCAGGCAAUUGUGAGCUACACAAAAUGGGUGCUGGGAAUCAAACUCCAGUUCUCUAGAAGAGCAACAAGCAUUACUAACCACUGGGCCAUCCUUCCAGCCCCCAUAACCUUGAACUUUUGACUCUUCAUUUCAGCCUCCUCAGUAGUUUGGAUUACAGGCCUGGCCAGCAAUAAUCCUUUUGAAGUAUAUUGAACACACGUGCCCGUGUGUCACAUAUACAGACUAUUCAAUGGCUGUCAGCUAGCGUUUUCUCAGGCCAGGUCACCUGGCAUUGCUGGCUUCUUACAUCUUGCCCUGGCACAUCUUUUCUCUGACAAAGCACUACUCACCUUUUGCUAGGGUUUCAGAUCCACUUGGCUUACAGCCUAUACUUGUAUAGAGACAACUAAAGUCCUUGUCCUCUACCCAGCCUUCUUAGUCUGUUUCUGUGCUAUUGAUACCUCUGUGUACUAGCUACAUUUCUGUUGCUGUGAUGAAACACCCUGACCAGGCCAAUGGAAAGGAAAUUAUUUGGCUUCCAAUUCUAUAAUUUUGAGGAGGUUAAGAUCUCAAGCCACUAGUCAUAUUAUAUAGUCAUAUUAUAUAUGUAGCCAAGAUGAGGGAGAAAUGAAUGCCCUCACAAUACUGGCUUGCUACUGGCUGGCCAUUGCCUGUGUUGUACUAUUCACUGCCCAAGGGAAUGGUGCCGCCCACAAUGGACUGGGUCUUCCUACAUCAGUUAAUAGUCAAGACAACCCCUUCCCCAAAAUAUGUACACAGGGCAACCUGUGAGAUAAAAUUUGUCAAUCACUUUAAACCCAUGUCCCCUAUUUUCUUACAAGGAGUAUCUUUCCUGGGAAAGGGCUCCAUGCUUAGGAUUUUAUCUCACUUCAGAUUUGUCCCCAUAUGUGUCCUUCCCUGGUAGGUCUGGGGAGGUCCUAAUUAGCUUCAUCUUGGAGUCUUCAAUACAAAUCCAUGUGAACUGUUUACCUGG
rnacentral:lncRNA from 1 species